GGACCCGCACAAGUAGUGGAGCAUGUGGUUUAAUUCGAAGAUACGCGCAGAACCUUACCAACACUUGACAUGUUCGUCGCGACUUUAAGAGAUUAAAGUUUUCGGUUCGGCCGGACGAAACACAGGUGCUGCAUGGCUGUCGUCAGCUCGUGUCGUGAGAUGUUGGGUUAAGUCCCGCAACGAGCGCAACCCUCACUUUUAGUUGCCAUCAUUUAGUUGGGCACUCUGAAAGAACUGCCAGUGAUAAGCUGGAGGAAGGUGGGGAUGACGUCAAGUCCUCAUGGCCCCUUACGUGUUGGGCUACACACGUGCUACAAAUGGUAUCUACAACAGGAAGCAAGACUGCGAGGUC
rnacentral:rRNA from 1 species